rnacentral:rRNA from 1 species
AUUGAACGCUGGCGGCAUGCUUUACACAUGCAAGUCGAACGGCAGCGGGGCGUUCGCCUGCCGGCGAGUGGCGAACGGGUGAGUAAUGCAUCGGAACGUGCCCAGUCGUGGGGGAGUAACACAUCGAAAGAUGUGCUAAUACCGCAUACGUCCUGAGGGAGAAAGCGGGGGAGUCUUCGGACCUCGCGCGAUUGGAGCGGCCGAUGUCGGAUUAGCUAGUUGGUGGGGUAAAGGCCCACCAAGGCGACGAUCCGUAGCGGGUCUGAGAGGAUGAUCCGCCACACUGGGACUGAGACACGGCCCAGACUCCUACGGGAGGCAGCAGUGGGGAAUUUUGGACAAUGGGGGCGAACCCUGAUCCAGCCAUGCCGCGUGAGUGAAGAAGG